rnacentral:rRNA from 1 species
GAUGAACGCUGGCGGCGUGCCUAAUACAUGCAAGUCGAGCGAACGGACGAGAAGCUUGCUUUUCUGAUGUUAGCGGCGGACGGGUGAGUAACACGUGGAUAACCUACCUAUAAGACUGGGAUAACUUCGGGAAACCGGAGCUAAUACCGGAUAAUAUUUUGAACCGCAUGGUUCAAAAGUGAAAGACGGUCUUGCUGUCGCUUAUAGAUGGAUCCGCGCUGCAUUAGCUAGUUGGUAAGGUAACGGCUUACCAAGGCAACGAUGCAUAGCCGACCUGAGAGGGGGAUCGGCCACACUGGAACUGAGACACGGUCCAGACUCCUACGGGAGGCAGCAGUAGGGAAUCUUCCGCAAUGGGCGAAAGCCUGACGGAGCAACGCCGCGUGAGUGAUGAAGGUCUGCGGAUCGUAAAACUCUGUUAUUAGGGAAGAACAUAUGUGUAAGUAACGGUGCACAUCUUGACGGUACCUAAUCAGAAAGCCACGGCGAACUACGU